rnacentral:rRNA from 1 species
UACGUAGGGUGCGAGCGUUGUCCGGAAUUAUUGGGCGUAAAGGGCGCGUAGGCGGCCUUCUAAGUCGGACGUGAAAUCCCUCGGCUUAACCGAGGAACUGCGUCCGAGACUGAAAGGCUUGAAUCCGGGAGAGGGAUGUGGAAUUCCAGGUGUAGCGGUGAAAUGCGUAGAUAUCAGGAGGAAUACCGAUGGCGAAGGCAGGUCUCUGGGCUGACACUGACGCUCAUGCACGAAAGCGUGGGGAGCAAACAGG